ensembl:snRNA U4 U4 spliceosomal RNA
AGCUUUGCGCAGUGGCAGUAUCGUAGCCAAUGAGGUUUAUCCGAGGCAUAAUUACUGCUAAUUGAAUACUUUUCCCAAAGGCU